GCGCAGGGACAGCUGCAUUUCUCGCCGCCCGCCGCUAGGAAGCCGGCCUCGCCUCACUUUGCCCGGGCCUGGGGGCGCAGGCUGGGCGGCGACGGCAGGCGGGGGCGCCUGCUGGGAGCCGAGCGCCUUUCAGGGGGAGGGGAGCUUCGCUUCCUGCCCCCCGCCGAUGUCACAGGUCGGCUCAGCCUUUUUUGGUCCCUCCCGGUCCCCUGGGAGCUGUAUCUCCCGUCAGCUCGGCCAGGGAAAGUUGGGAAUGCGCUGUCCCCGCCCCUGCUCGCCCGCCC
rnacentral:lncRNA from 1 species